CACUGCUGAGGAGUCCCACAAUAGGACGAAACGGCUGUCCAGGGU
rnacentral:hammerhead_ribozyme from 1 species